GGACAAUGGGCGCAAGCUGAUCCAGCAAUGCCGCGUGAGUGAAGAAGGCUUUCGGGUUGUAAAGCUCUUUGUCAGGGAAGAAACGGUAGAGGCUAAUAUCCUUGCUAAUGACGGUACCUGAAGAAUAAGCACCGGCUAACUACGUGCCAGCAGCCGCGGUAAUACGUAGGGUGCAAGCGUUAAUCGGAAUUACUGGGCGUAAAGCGUGCGCAGGCGGUUUUGUAAGUCUGUCGUGAAAGCCCCGGGCUCAACCUGGGAAUUGCGAUGGAGACUGCAAGGCUUGAAUCUGGCAGAGGGGGGUAGAAUUCCACGUGUAGCAGUGAAAUGCGUAGAGAUGUGGAGGAACACCGAUGGCGAAGGCAGCCCCCUGGGUCAAGAUUGACGCUCAUGCACGAAAGCGUGGGGAGCAAACAGGAUUAGAUACCCUGGUAGUCCACGCCCUAAACGAUGUCUACUAGUUGUCGGGUUUUAAUUAACUUGGUAACGCAGCUAACGCGUGAAGUAGACCGCCUGGGGAGUACGGUCGCAAGAUUAAAACUCAAAGGAAUUGACGGGGACCCGCACAAGCGGUGGAUGAUGUGGAUUAAUUCGAUGCAACGCGAAAAACCUUACCUACCCUUGACAUGUCAGGAAGGCCGGAGAGAUCUGGCUGUGCCCGAAAGGGAACCUGAACACAAGGUGCUGCAAUGGC
rnacentral:rRNA from 1 species